rnacentral:lncRNA from 1 species
CUGCACCCAUGGCAUACGGAAGUUCCCAGGCUAGUGAUUUAGUCUGAGCCACAUCUGUGACCUAUGCCACAGCUAUAGCAAUGCUGGAUCCUUUAACCCACUGCACUGGGCCAGAGAUCAAACUGGAACCUCUGCAGUGAUCCCAGCCACUGCAAUCAGGUUCUUAACCAACUGCGCCAUAGCAGGAACACCUAUUUAUUCUUUAAUAAACACUUUAUUCUACAUGGAAAAUAAUUCAGAGAACCUAAUGUUACAUGGUCAGCUCAGAUUCAUGGAAACUCAACUGUCUAUGGUCAUUCCAAGACCAAAUUCAAGAGUAAUAUUGCAACACCUCUCAAAUUGUUUAAUCUGUUUUCAAGUGCAGUUGAUGUCUCCAACUCCUGCGCUAUGACAUAUUCCUGUGUUUAAAUAAUAGAUCCGAAAUCACCAAUGAUAGCAUUGAGAGAUAAUGAUAGUGACACAGAACUGGAGUUGCUGCAAUCUCUUCUUCUUGUCUUCUAAAUGACUACUAGGAAAUUUUAUCUGUGUUGAAAAUUUUAAAAUUUAGAGAUUUAAAAGAAUUUUUUUCCUAAAAAUAUGUCAGCAUGGAUUAAAAGUAUAAAUCAAUUACUUUUUUCUUUUUCUUGGUGUUAGAAUAUUUAUUUUAUUAAUCAUUUUUAUUGACAUGAAUAUAUACUCAAAGUUCAAUGGAAGAAAAUUAUCACUACAUCUCUUUCCCCACCCCAGACAUCAUCCUCAUCACUGUUAUUAUUCAUUUCACUUUAUGGUUGUUGCUGAAAAUAAUUUUGUUGUUUAGAAUGGGGGUGUUAAAAAUGAUCUGCUCCAGGUGUCAAAUGUGCUCUGUAUGUCACUGACUUAAAUAGGAGCAUUAUGCAAUUUACUGAUGUCAUUAGUUUCUUCUUUCUUCUAUAGUCUAGUUAUGAUAAAAAUGCACAAUUUAGAAGACUGGUGGAAAAAUUGCUGAUCUCUUCAAGUUAUCAUCAGCUCAGAGGAAGCCAAGAUUAAGAAUGCCUAGAAUUUUGAAGGCAAUGCUUAUUUGCAUGGAAUUUAAGUGCUCUUCAUUUUGGAACUGGAAGAACUCAUUUGAACUACCAAAAGGAAUUUUGGUAUUUUAUUUUUGAAGUUCCAGGUUAUUUGUUUGAUUCACUUCAUUAUUGCUUUUUCUUUUCCCUCUCCUUUCUCACAUCUCAUUCAUGUAGAUUUCGGUCACUUGCUCAUUAGAAGGAAGUUACAAGUGUUCUGAAUCUAUAGAGAUGCCAAAAUCAGGUUCUUCUGAGUAUUUUAGUUUUUGAGCAAUGAGAUUCCUUUGAAUAUGUUCAUCUUAUACUUGAGCAGCUGGAGAAUCAGCUGGCAAGUUAGUUAGUUGUGAAGAUAUAAAAAUAUCUCAACACAGAGAAAUAUUUGGUAUGACUCUGUCUUUCCUUUUUUAUCAGCUGCAAGGGUAGGCAACAGAGUAAGGUAACCCCCAAAUCACAUUGUGUGGGGAAGCAAUAAGCAGGUAACUCAGUUGCAGAAACACAUGGCUUUCAGCAUAUUGCACAUCACCUAAAUUUGUUUCCAUUCUGCUUUAAGAGCACUUCCAUUUUUUCCUACUUAAUUGAUCAAAUUCUAUACAAGCUAAACUAUAAAAUUUCCUAAGACUUGGACACAGGCUGGAUAACUAUAGACUCAUGUUUCAUGUGGAUACAUGUAAACCCUUCUUUUUUCGGGUUUAUACAGAGCAUUACUCAAAUUCACAACUAUUAAUGCAAACUAUUACAUUUAGAAUGGAUAACAAUGGGGUCCUAUUAUACAACACAGGGAACUAUGUCCAGUCUCUUGGGUUAGAACAUGAUGGAAGGUAGUAUGAAAAAUAAAAAGAAUAUAUAUAGAAUGUAUGCACAGCAGAAAUUGAAGGAAUAUUGUAAAUCAACUAUACUUGAAUAAAAAAAUUUUUUAAAAAGGAAAGACUAAUUUUAAAAAUUCACAACUAUUAAAUUGUUAAGGUAAAUUCUACUCUCUCUCAUAAUUUGGAAUUUCUAAUGUGAAUUUUAUUUUAACACUUAGAAGUUUAAUACUGAAGGCAGAGCUAUGGUGCUAAUAAUAAUUAUGAAAGUUUAAAUGGCUUUGUGGGCCUAAGGAAAAGGAGAUAAUUUAUUUUUGAAACAUUUUAGAACAGGAACAAUGUAUCAGCAUUCAUGAAUUCCUUAGCUAGACCCAUUAACUAUUUCAGCUUAUCCUGGUAAAAAUUAUAAAAUAUUUAUAUCUAUUUCAAAUCUAGAAAACAAGCACAUAUACACACAUACCUAAAAUAAGAGUAACUUUGAUUUUUUAUGGAUAAGUGACCUAGACAAGACUAUCAAAAAACAGACAACUGGGGGCAAAUCAUGCUAAAAUGAUAAAAUAUAAUUAUUCAUUUUAAUAUUACAUUUCCUAAGAAAUAAGAAAAUAGUGUCCAAACUACAUAUAAUUUAAGUUAUAAUUUGAUCUUAGUCCAUGCCCCAUUACUGUUACAUAUAUUAGGAAUAUAAUGUAAUAAAUUUAUAAUAAGUAAGUAAAUUAAUUUAUUUGAAUUAAAUUCAUUGAAUAUCAAAGGUUUUUUGUUUGUUUGUUUGUUUUUAGGGCGGCACCCAAGGCAUAUGGAGAUUCCCAGUCUAGGGGUCUAAUCUGAGCUGUUGCCACCGGCCUACGGCAAAGUCAUAGCAACGUCAGAUCCAAGCUGUGUCUGCCACCUAUACCACAGCUCACAGCAACGCCGGAUCCUUAAUCCACUGAGCAAGGCCAGGGAUUGAACCCGCAACCUCAUGGUUCCUAGUCAGAUUCGUUUCCACUGCACCAUGACGGGAACUCUGAAUACCAAAGUUUUAAUAAAAUUAAUUAUCAGUCAUAUUAAAGUUUACAUAAAACUUUCCAAAAUCUGAAAAGAAUUGCAAGAUCUGCUUACAUUUUCCUUUAUAGAGGAUGAGGCCCAAAGGCGAUGGCUAAACAAAGUUGUGACUACGCUUUUCAGAACUUGCUAAAUGUUAUUCCAAGACUUUUCUUUUUUAAGUGGGCAGGAAAACAAUUGACAGGUAGCCCAUUCUAGGUGGAGGGAGGAAGGAAGAAAAAAGGGGGCAGGGGAAUAAUGAGUGAAAGGCAUCAGUACUCCCUACUCUGAUGGAUUGGAUCCAUGCAGCUCAGCUGUCACAGAGCAAGCUGACACGUUUUACUUUUCAUGCUGGAUUAACAGGUGAAUGUCAGGAAAUACAUAGCAAACAUGGCUUGGCUAGACCUAAUGCUGAAUUACCGAGUUUUUCUGACCCUCUUUAUCACUAAGAAUUCUGCACGGUCUAUUCUGCUUUUGAACCACUCCCUUAGGAAUUUGAGAUUGAGUUAAUACUACUUUCUGCUGAAUUUCUAAUAAGUAGCAAAAGAAUUCAUGGAUGCAAAGCAAAGAGUGAAAAUCCUAUACAGAUAAUAGUGGUAACUGUUUGUACUUAGUUUUAUCCCUGGCUUCACACCCUCCAACUUAAGAGUGAGAGAGACAUUUAACAGUUUCUUCAAACCAAAAAACAGACUGUUCAUUGAUUAAUUAGAAUGAGUUGGGUGUGAGCAUUUUGAGCUAUUCUCAAAUCUAAAAGACAUGUAUACAUUGUAAACUUACAUAGACCCAAAUGAUUCAUUCAUCCAACAUUGCCAAGCCCCUAUUAGCCAAGGCCGUGUUCCUAGUACUACAGUAGGUACGCAGUGUGAACUUUUGGCUGGUCCCCUUAAGGUGCUCACAAACCAGUGGAGCAACACUGCAAAACAGCAUCACAGCAUAGGGAACACAGUUGAGGGGCUAGGUGAUGUCUUCUGUCAGAAGUUAUCAAGAUAAAUUUCAAGAAAGAAGGGGGCCUGCGAGUGGGUUCUAAAGUAUGAUGGGCGAAAAUGACAAGGAUUUUAGUGAAAGACCCACAUAAAAGGCAAUGUAAUGAAAACACAUUAUGACCAAAUUAUAUUGAUUACAUCUAAUAGGUUUCACAAGGAAAGCCUAAUAUAACAGGUUUUGAUUUUAUCUUCCUUAAAACAAGCACUAAAAUGAGACGGUCUCCUUUUAGAUCUUAAUUAUUAGAACACUUCCCAAACUUUGUAAUAGCAAUGCCAUUAGUAAGCCAUAACGCUGAACACUGUAUUUCACAGAAGGCAUUUGUAACUGUAAAGCAUAAAAGGUGAUUGUUCAUUUUAUCCUAUUAGAAGCUUCCCUAGCCUCCAUAGCAGUGCUCAUCUGGCCCCCACUUCAUGCUCAAGUCAUACAGAUUGGAGUUGACUCUCAAUUACACCAAGUCUUUCUCCAAAGAUGACAGUCCAAAUACAGUAGAGAUAAAAUACAUCAAGGUUUAAAAUAGGCCCGUUCAGCCCCAGUGCCGCUUCAUCAUGAAAUGAUAUAAUUCACUGAUGCCUCUGCCUAGCCUAACAUAUGUUCUAUUCACAGCCCGCGUCACUCUUCAUUUGUAAUUAUUU